UGGCGAACGGGUGAGUAACACGUGAGAAUCUGCCUUUAGGAAGAGGAUAACAGAUAGAAAUAUCUGCUAAAACUCUAUAUGCCAAAUUGGUGAAACAAAGUAAUUUGCCUAAAGAGGAGCUCGCGCCUGAUUAGCUAGUUGGUAAGGUAAUGGCUUACCAAGGCGACGAUCAGUAGCUGGUCUGAGAGGACGAUCAGCCACACUGGAACUGAGACACGGUCCAGACUCC
rnacentral:rRNA from 1 species